rnacentral:rRNA from 1 species
CCUACGGGAGGCAGCAGUGAGGAAUAUUGGUCAAUGGACGAGAGUCUGAACCAGCCAAGUAGCGUGAAGGAUGACUGCCCUAUGGGUUGUAAACUUCUUUUAUAAAGGAAUAAAACGAGGCACGUGUGCCUUUUUGCAUGUACUUUAUGAAUAAGGAUCGGCUAACUCCGUGCCAGCAGCCGCGGUACUACGGAGGAUCCGAGCGUUAUCCGGAUUUCUUGGGUUUAAAGGGAGCGUAGAUGGGUUGUUAAGUCAGUUGUGAAAGUUUGCGGCUCAACCGUAAAAUUGCAAUUGAUACUGGCAGUCUUGAGUACAGUUGAGGUAGGCGGAAUUCGUGGUGUAGCGGUGAAAUGCUUAGAUAUCACGAAGAACCCCGAUUGCGAAGGCAGCUUACUAAACUGUGACUGACAUUGAUGCUCGAAAGUGUGGGUAUCAAACAGGAUUAGAUACCCGGGUAGUC